rnacentral:rRNA from 1 species
CAGCAGUAGCCGCGGGAAUACGAAGGGGGCUAGCGUUGUUCGGAUUUACUGGGCGUAAAGGGCGCGUAGGCGGACUGAUAAGUCAGGGGUGAAAUCCCGAGGCUCAACCUUGGAACUGCCUUUGAUACUGUUUGUCUUGAGUUCGAGAGAGGUAAGUGGAACUGCGAGUGUAGAGGUGAAAUUCGUAGAUAUUCGCAAGAACACCAGUGGCGAAGGCGGCUUACUGGCUCGAAACUGACGCUGAGGCGCGAAAGUGUGGGGAGCAAACAGGAUUAGAUACCCCAGUAGUCCCUGUCUCUUAUAA